GCCGGGCUCAGUGGCGCACACCUGUCAUCCCAUCAGCUCAGGAGGCCGAGGCAGGAGGAUCGCAAGUUGGAGGCCAGCCUCAGCCACUUAGCAAGGCCCUGAGCAACUCAGCGAGACCCUGUCUCUA
rnacentral:sRNA from 1 species